GACGAACGCUGGCGGCGUGCCUAAUACAUGCAAGUCGAGCGGACCUCUUCGGAGGUCAGCGGCGGACGGGUGAGUAACACGUGGGCAACCUGCCCUAGAGAGGGGGACAACAGAGGGAAACUUCUGCUAAUACCCCAUAUGAGCGUACCUGAAAUGGUAUUCUUGAAAACUCCGGUGCUCUAGGAUGAGCCUGCAUCUGAUUAGCUUGUUGGUGGGGUAAUGGCCUACCAAGGCGACGAUCAGUAGCUGGUUUGAGAGGAUGAUCAGCCACAAUGGGACUGAGACACGGCCCAUACUCCUACGGGAGGCAGCAGUAGGGAAUUUUGCGCAAUGGGCGAAAGCCCGACGCAGCAACGCCGCGUGAACGUAGAAGCCCUUCGGGGUGUAAAGUUCUGUCAGUGGGGACGAAACUUGACGGUACCCACAGAGGAAGCACCGGCUAACUCCGUGCCAGCCGCCGCGGUAAGAC
rnacentral:rRNA from 1 species